rnacentral:lncRNA from 7 species
CUGGCAUACUGGGACUGCAGUUUUGAGCAGGCGUCGCACUGGUAUCAGUAUCUUUGAGCGUUUGCACUCACUGAUGAGCAGAGACUUCCAAAUGGCCCAUCACCUGUGAGCAUCUUGAUUUACAUCUGCCCAGCAAACAUUUUAUGGAUUUGUUUCUUGUUCAUCCUUUAAUGAGCUGCAAACGAUUCUGCAAACUGUCACCAAACAAAAUAACACAUAUGAGAGAGUAAAGAAACAAAUAAAACAGCACAUGCUAUAAAAUGGACAAAAUAAUGAAAAGCUCUCUCCUGUGCAUCACAUAUAGACUCUGCACUGAUGUUCAUUUGGAAGAAAAGUGCCACAUACGUGUGCAUGAUGGCCUGAUUGUGAAAUACUUCCCUGCCUUCCCCUUUCUGGAGAUCCCAAAGGCCACAUUUGUCAUAUAGUCACUUUGCUAUGAGUGUGUAAUUAAAUGUAAAGCACUUUGGGAUGUUCAGCUGUAUAAAGUAUUGCUGUUGGAAUGCAAGUUGUUUUUCCUGCAGACAAACACAAAAGGAAAGAAAAACAAAUAAACAGUAACAACAACAACAAAGAAAUGAAAAGGUUUCUAGGAAUAAAAAUGUGAACACUGGUAGAUAAAUAAAACAUUAGAAGGAAAGGAAAAUACUUCCGGAAAACAAAUCAAUAAGAUUGAAAAAAAAAAAGAAAAAGUAAGAGAUUUAUUUGAGAAAGUUGACAGGCUUGCAGAAAUUUCUAGCUUACAAGCUAUUUACAGAGAGAAAAUAUGAUGAAUCAAGACACAAUCAUCAAAGUAAAAACCCUAGAUAUUAAAAUUUUAACUGUAACUUGUAGAAAGAGUCCAGAUCUUUUCCUCUGUGACAUAAAUUUUCACAGGCAGUAGAAGUUUCCAAUUACAGAGUUUCUUCUGUAUUUUCAUCCUUGGAGAUAAUGUUUGUCCUUUUGUGAAAUAACUGUAAGAUUCUGUCUUCCCCAGUUUAUGUCUGAUAAAUACUGAC